rnacentral:rRNA from 1 species
AAUGAGCGCUGGCGGCAGGCCUAACACAUGCGAGUCGAACGGAUCCUUCGGGAUUAGUGGCGGACGGGUGAGUAACGCGUGGGAACAUACCCAAAGGUACGGAAUAGCCUCGGGAAACUGGGAGUAAUACCGUAUGUGCUCGAAAGAGGAAAGAUUUAUCGCCUUUGGAUUGGCCCGCGUUGGAUUAGGUAGUUGGUGGGGUAAUGGCCUACCAAGCCGACGAUCCAUAGCUGGUUUGAGAGGAUGAUCAGCCACACUGGGACUGAGACACGGCCCAGACUCCUACGGGAGGCAGCAGUGGGGAAUCUUAGACAAUGGGGGAAACCCUGAUCUAGCCAUGCCGCGUGAUCGAUGAAGGCCUUAGGGUUGUAAAGAUCUUUCAGGUGGGAAGAUAAUGACUGUACCACCAGAAGAAGCCCCGGCUAACUCCGUGCCAGCCGCCGCAGUAA